rnacentral:rRNA from 1 species
UACCAGCACCCCGAGUGGUCGGGACGAUUAUUGGGCCUAAAGCAUCCGUAGCCGGUUCUGCAAGUCCUCCGUUAAAUCCAGCUGCUCAACAGAUGGGCCGCGGAGGAUACUACAGAGCUAGGAGGCAGGAGAGGCAAGCGGUACUCAGUGGGUAGGGGUAAAAUCCGUUGAUCCAUUGAAGACCACCAGUGGCGAAGGCGGCGAGCUGGUCCAUUACUGACGCUGAGGCGCGACAGCGUGGGGAGCAAACAGG